CACUCCUAACAACCUUCAGAACUGCCCAGAAAGCAAUUCCAGGGGAUUUUGCAGCCUUGUUGAGUUUGCAGAGAAGAACACAUCGGAAGCAUAGCAGCACCUGAGUUCAUCCAGUUCUGGGAUGGCAGAUCUCCAAACUACAGAAAAAGAGCAGCAUCUAAAAGGAAAGUAUAGAAGAUGACAACACAGCAAGUGCUUCUGAACUCUGCUUCUG